AUUGAACGCUGGCGGCAUGCUUUACACAUGCAAGUCGAACGGUAACAGGCCUUCGGGCGCUGACGAGUGGCGAACGGGUGAGUAAUGCAUCGGAACGUGCCCAGUCGUGGGGGAUAACUAUCCGAAAGGAUAGCUAAUACCGCAUACGAUCUGCGGAUGAAAGCGGGGGACCUUCGGGCCUCGCGCGAUUGGAGCGGCCGAUGUCAGAUUGGGUAGUUGGUGGGGUAAAGGCUCACCAAGCCAACGAUCUGUAGCUGGUCUGAGAGGACGACCAGCCAGACUGGGACUGAGACAGGGCCCAGACUCCUACGGGAGGCAGCAGUGGGGAAUUUUGGACAAUGGGCGCAAGCCUGAUCCAGCAAUGCCGCGUGCAGGAAGAAGGCCUUCGGGUUGUAAACUGCUUUUGUACGGAACGAAACGGCCCUGGUUAAUACCUGGGGCUAAUGACGGUACCGUAAGAAUAAGCACCGGCUAACUACGUGCCAGCCGCCGCCGUAACAC
rnacentral:rRNA from 1 species